AUGACGCCAGAUGGCGAGACCGUGGGAUCCACUGGAGAUGGUGACGUCACAGGAGGACCCACCUCCCGGGAGGCAGCUGUGAGGCCGAGCUCCCUGAGCUGCUGCAGGCCGAGCUUCCUUGCGCUGCCCGCGGGCCCUCCUUGUGCCCACCUCUGCCAUGGGCUCCACGCUCCGCUGCUGGGUGGUCGUCUGGCUCCUGGGGGCAGGUCCCGCGAAUGCCAGCGUCGCCCAGCACCCCAGACACCUGGUCGUGGAGCGAGGACAGGAGGCGACCCUGACGUGCAGCCCCAUGAAAGGCCACACUUACGUUUUCUGGUAUCGGCAGCUCCCGGAGGAAGGGCUGACGUUCAUGAUUUCCCUGCGGAGACAACAAAUCAUGGACGAGUCAGGAUUGCCAUCAAAACGCUUUUCUGCCACAUUUCCCAAAGAGGGGCCCAGCGCCUUCAACGUCCUGCCGGCAGAGCCCGGUGACUCCGCCGUGUAUUUCUGUGCCAGCUCCACGUUCCACACCAGCUCAGAGUCACAUCCUCCCAGAGCACAAACCUCCUCCGGGCCCCGCCCCCACCCAGCCACAGCGGGGGGAGGAGCCUCCCAGCCCGCGCUCCCCCACUCGGACUCUGCCCCGUGCAAAAGGUGA